rnacentral:tRNA from 2 species
GUGCAGUUAGUAUAGUGGUAGUACGCUCGCCCCUCUGAGUUGAGUAUCCCGGGUUCGACCCCCGGACUGCACA